AGUGAACGCUGGCGGUAGGCCUAACACAUGCAAGUCGAACGGCAGCACAGUAAGAGCUUGCUCUUACGGGUGGCGAGUGGCGGACGGGUGAGGAAUACAUCGGAAUCUACUUUUUCGUGGGGGAUAACGUAGGGAAACUUACGCUAAUACCGCAUACGACCUACGGGUGCAAGCAGGGGAUCUUCGGACCUUGCGCGAUUGAAUGAGCCGAUGUCGGAUUAGCUAGUUGGCGGGGUAAAGGCCCACCAAGGCGACGAUCCGUAGCUGGUCUGAGAGGAUGAUCAGCCACACUGGAACGGAGACACGGUCCAGACUCCUACGAGAGGCAGCAGUCGGGAAUAUUGGACAAUGGGCGCAAGCCUGAUCCAGCCAUACCGCGUGGGUGAAGAAGGCCUUCGGGUUGUAAAGACCUUUUGUUGGGAAAGAAAAGCAGCAGGUUAAUACCCCGCUGUUCUGACGGUACCCAAAGAAUAAGCACCGGCUAACUUCGUG
rnacentral:rRNA from 1 species